rnacentral:rRNA from 1 species
GAUGAACGCUGGCGGCGUGCUUAACACAUGCAAGUCGAACGAAGCACCUUGAUUCGAUUCUUCGGAUGAAGAUCUUGGUGACUGAGUGGCGGACGGGUGAGUAACGCGUGGGUAACCUGCCUCAUACAGGGGGAUAACAGUUAGAAAUGACUGCUAAUACCGCAUAAGACCACAGCACCGCAUGGUGCAGGGGUAAAAACUCCGGUGGUAUGAGAUGGACCCGCGUCUGAUUAGGUAGUUGGUGGGGUAACGGCCUACCAAGCCGACGAUCAGUAGCCGACCUGAGAGGGGGACCGGCCACAUUGGGACUGAGACACGGCCCAAACUCCUACGGGAGGCAGCAGUGGGGAAUAUUGCACAAUGGGGGAAACCCUGAUGCAGCGACGCCGCGUGAGCGAUGAAGUAUUUCGGUAUGUAAAGCUCUAUAAGCAGGGAAGAAAAUGACGGUACCUGACUAAGAAGCACCGGCUAAAUACGUG